CGCAGGCGGGAGAGGCUGAGGAUUCUUUUGGGAAGCCCCUCCGCCGGCUGUAACCCCAGGGCCGUGCCACCCUCCUGAUCACCGCAAGCAUGGACCCCCCAGCACGCUGCGGGUGGGACAGGCAGGGCCCCUGUGGGGUGGCUUGACUGGCCUGGAGUUGGGGACGAAGUCCCCGGGCUUGGUCCCCCGAGGGCUUGGUUGGGCGUCCCGGGCUGUUGUCCACACCAAGGGUGGCCUACAGAGGGAAGUGAGGACCUUGGGACUUCCUCCAGGACAGCCCUCGCUGUCCAAAUCUCCACCUGCUGCAGAGCUGCCUCCAGUCAAGCCCUUGUUUCCAGCUUUCUGUGCCCUAAAUAAACUUCUGCUGGGAUU
ensembl:lncRNA LINC02298 long intergenic non-protein coding RNA 2298